rnacentral:lncRNA from 1 species
UGGAUGGUAUUUUUUAGUGCUCAUACCAGAUGGGGUGUGGGGACAGCCGGUUAGUUAACAAUGUUAAAUAUUGGUUUACGUGUAGUGGGACAUCUUUAUGAGGCCCUAGAGAUACCAGUAGGCAAAUAAAAGAGAAAAGUGGUUGUUAUUGCUCACUUGAAAAUGAAAUUGGAAUGUUAUUUGAAUUAUUGUAUCUUUAUAGGUCGAUUUUGGAAAUCUUGCAACAGUAAAUAUAUGUAAUAAAUGAUUUUUUCCUUAUGAUAAAUGAAUUUACUUAAAUCAAGAGCUCCAUUGCUUGUUUUUAUGAUUUUUACCAACCUUCAGUUUCUGUAUCAGUGAGUAGUGUGAUAUUCUUAUUGGGCUACUGUAGCUCACCCUUUCAUUAACUAUUUCAGAUCAAGAGGACCUAGACCCAGAUCCCGAUCAACAAGAGAGUUGUAAAUAAUUCACCACCCGAACUCCCUUCAAAAGCUAAUGAAGGUCAUCCUAGAAUGCUUACUAUAUUGUCUUUUGUUUAUUUAUAUGAUUUUCAUUUGUUUCUUUUAGAAGAGACAUUCUCGUAACCCUAUUGGGCAUUCUAAAUUAUUAUGUAAAGAAUGUGAACCCUAAACUCUAUUAUUUUGCUUCCGCAUUUAAUUCAUGACUUCAUUUCUUUUUAAGUUUCGG